rnacentral:rRNA from 1 species
AUGGCGUCGACCUCGAGCUUGGAUUUGGGAAAGAUCGGUCCGACGGCCGGCUACCUCCUCCACCGCUGCGCCGCCGUCCCCAGCGCCCCUGUUCUCCGGGGGAGGAGCGCGAGCGGGCGGUGCGGCCUCGCCGUCUCGGUCUCGUCCUCCAAUGCUGGGCUCUCCGCAUUGAGUGACUCGGAGAAGAAAGGCCCUGUGGUGAUGGAGAUCCCGCUGGAAGAUAUCCGGAGGCCGCUAAUGCGAACGCGUGCUAAUGAUCCUGACAAGGUGCAGGAGCUCAUGGACAGCAUCCGUGUCAUCGGCCUCCAAGUACCUAUCGAUGUGCUGGAGGUCGACGGAGUCUACUACGGAUUCUCUGGAUGCCAUCGCUACGAGGCUCACCAGCGCCUAGGACUCCCAACCAUCCGCUGCAAAGUCCGCCGAGGGACAAAAGAAACACUGCGGCACCAUAUGCGAUGA